rnacentral:rRNA from 1 species
UACACACCGCCCGUCACACCAUGGGAGUUGGUUUACCCGAAGCCGGUGCGCGAACCGCAAGGACGCAGCCGACCACGGUGAGAUUCAUGACUGGGGUG